rnacentral:rRNA from 1 species
ACGAACGCUGGCGGCGUGCUUAACACAUGCAAGUCGAACGGAAAGGCCCUGCUUUUGUGGGGUGCUCGAGUGGCGAACGGGCGAGUAACACGUGAGUAACCUGCCCUUGACUUUGGGAUAACUUCAGGAAACUGGGGCUAAUACCGGAUAGGAGCUCCUGCUGCAUGGUGGGGGUUGGAAAGUUUCGGCGGUUGGGGAUGGACUCGCGGCUUAUCAGCUUGUUGGUGGGGUAGUGGCUUACCAAGGCUUUGACGGGUAGCCGGCCUGAGAGGGUGACCGGCCACAUUGGGACUGAGAUACGGCCCAGACUCCUACGGGAGGCAGCAGUGGGGAAUAUUGCACAAUGGGCGGAAGCCUGAUGCAGCAACGCCGCGUGCGGGAUGACGGCCUUCGGGUUGUAAGCCGCUUUCGCCUGUGACGAAGCGUGAGUGACGGUAAUGGGUAAAGAAGCACCGGCUAACUACGUG